CUUAAAUAAAUUUUAAAUAUUACAUAUUUUAGUUUCUUGUCAUGAUUUCAUUCUCCCUAGUCUAAAGAUUUGAUGCUCCUUUUCAUAAAUUAUUUCACGGUAAUAUGUGUUCCCCCUACUUUGGAAGAAUUUCCCUGAAUUAUUCAAAUUCUGUCAGUAUAUUCAGGUAUUGUUCUUUUAUAAAAAAUUUAAAUAUAUGCCUUAAAAAUUUUUAAUAACUUUAUAGGUAUAACAGAUUAAGUAUUCUUUUCUGGUAGAAAUAUAGUUACUCAUCUUCAGUGUAUUUGAUCAUCUUGGGAUAAUAUCUCUUUACUACUAAUAUGUUCUGUCUGCUUCGUGUUUUAUAUUUUCCAGAGAAUUUUUACAUAGAUUAUUUGAUUUCUUGUUUAUAGCAGCCUUGUGGGAUAACCAGUGCAGAUGUAAUAAUGCCCUUCCAUUUUGCAGAUGAGGAAAUUUGGAUUUUUGCGUUCUGUAACUUGGCCAAGGUUUCAAAGCUUAAAAAGCAGAAAUGAAUUUAGAACUGCACUUUCUAAUUUAGUCUGAAUUAAUUUCAGAGUCUGAGUUAUAGAGAUAUUACUGAAUUUCUUCAUAGAUUGUAAAUUAUUAAAAAACAACACUUGCAGACUUUAAUGUAUUUAUUGUGUUGAUUCAAUUUGGGCCUACAUAAUACUGGUACUGGUCAUAGUACUGGUACACUGAAUAUUCAUUAUAAGGCCCAUUGUUAUGGGUUAUGAAAUAAUUCAUUGUCAUAUUGAUGCUGUAUGUUCAGAAUUAGUACUUUGUCAGUGUAUAAGUAUUGGUAAAGGAGGCAAAUGUCAAAUAUUAUUAACAUUAAUUACAUUCAAGUUGUUUGACAUCGCUAAACACAUUGGAAUUACUGUAUUUUUCAGACUAUAAGAUGGACUCCCCCCAGUUUGGGAGGAAAGGGGGGUGCAUCGUAUAUUCUGAAUAUAGUUUACCUGACUGUGGGGGCGGGGUACAGCAGCCUAUGUUAUUUAUGUUGUUAAAUAUUUUACCACAUUUUUUGCUUCAAAAAAUUAUUUUUCUAUUUUCCUCCUCUAAAACCUAGGUGUGUCUUAUGGUCUGGUGUGUCUUAUAGUCCUAAAAUACGGUAUUCACUGAUUAUGUAAUUGGGGCCUCAGAGUUCUACUCAUAUUUUUAUAAGUAGCAUGGAGAGGAGAACAUAACUACACUGACUAUAACUGAGGUUUGGGGGAAGGAGAACAAGAUUUCUACCAGUUGAAUUUGUAGUCCUAUACUUGGAAACAGUUCUGUUUAGAUUAAAACCUAAACUGGUCUUUGGUGGAAAGGGACUAAGGAUAGGUGAAAAUGUAUUUAGGGGGAAAGUAUUUUGAGUUUAAUUUAAUUACUUGAUAUAAUUAUAGAUCUCUGUGUUUGCAGGAGCAUUGACUAAUGAAAUAAGAAUGCUUAUUCUCAAAGGUGACUUUUUUUUUUUACUCUUCUGGUCCCAAGAUUAUGGCCAGAGGGAUAGCACUGUCACCAAGAAUAAUUUGGAGGUUGCCAAGGACUUGUUUUAAAGUGUUUUCAAGUCUGACCGAGAACUCUGACAUUUAGAAAACAAACAAAGAAGAAGAAUGCCUGUUCUCCACCACCCAACUAAAGAUUUCAUCUGUGAUGAGUUUAGUGCAUCUGGGUUUGCUUUGUGAUGAAAUGUUUCUAAACAGAGAUCUGCUUCCAGUAGAGAAGCAGUGUUACCGGAUGGGCAGAAGGCUCCAAUUUAGUGCUUUUCAUGAGAUUGUAUUUGGUGACUGCAUAAUUGUGAAGUUUAGCAAUACAAUCUGAGUAUGCUUUUUUCUCUAAAAAUUAGAAUUUGUAAAAGAAAGACGAUUCUCCAUCCUUCCUUAUACUCUACAUCAAGGGUGUCCAACUCAUUUUCACCAGGGGCCUUCUAAUGUAAUUUCAACUCCUUAACAGUUAAGGGGUAGUUACAUUUAUACAGUCCUAAAAUUAUUUUGGCCCUUUGAAGGCAACCGUGAGGCUGAUGUGGCCCCCGGUGUAAAUGAGUUGGAUACCCCUACUCUACUUUCAUACAACCAUAAACUUGACUGUGGUGUACAUGUUCCUGGUUUCUCUGGAGUAUAUAUCUAGAAGUGGAACUACUGGGUUAUACACUAUGUAUAUAUUUAACCCUACUAGACAGAGCUAAACUUACCUCUGCUUUUAACUCUUGUUGAAUAUUUUUAAGUUGAAAAACUUGAUAACAUACAUAAUGUUGCAGUCGACACCUUUCUUGCAUGUAAUACUUCUUUUAUGUUACUCUUGCAUAUAAACAUUUUGUUGAAGCUACAUUGGUUUUAAAAGAGUACUUAUCUGCUCUACUACCAUUGUGACUAAAUUGUGAUGGGGUAGGGUGUUGUGGUAAACAAAAGUAAUUAACCUUGAAAGUGGAGAGUAAACAGAAUAUUCUGAAUUAUUUUAUUGUCCUUAAUGGGGAUAGCAGCCAUCAGAUCAGUUAAAUAAACCAUUAUUAAAGUGGUAAGAAGAGUACAAUCUACUAAUAAAUUGCUUAAGUAAAAAAUGAAUACUGUUUAACAAAAUCAUUUAGUCUCUGAACUAAAUUUUUAGUUUGACUCUUUUAUUAGUAUGAUAAAAAUUAGAUGUGUUUUGAAGUAUGUAUAUAUAUAUAUAUAUACACACACACACACUUUAAAAAUAUUUUAUUUAUUUUUAGAGAGAGGGGAAGGGAAGGAGGAAGAGUGGGAGAGACACAUCAGUGUGUGGUUGCCCCCCAUGCGUCCCUACUGGGGACCUGGCCUGCAACCCAGGCAUGCGCCCUGACUGGGAACGGAACAGGUCCAUGCUCAGUCUACUGAGCCACACCACCCAGGGCUACACACACACACACACACACACACACACACACACACACACACACACAUACUUUGACAAAUAGAAUCAGAUUUUAGAUUCACUAGUGUUUUUUUCCAUGGCUGUUAGUUAUUAAUCUCUUUCUUCUCAAUUUCCUCAAACCUGUCCUGUUUUUGUUUGUUUCUUUGUUUUUUAUCCUCACCCAAGGACAUGCUCAUUGAUUUUAGAGAGAGGGGAAGAAAGGGGGAGAAAGAGGGAGAGAAAGGGAGAGUAACAUCAACCAGCUGCCUCUCUUGUGUGCCCUAACCUGGGACUGAACCCAUAACCCAGGUAUGUGCCCUGACUGGGAACCGAACCUGUGACCUCUUGGUUUAUGGGACAACAAUGUUCCAACCAACUGAGCCACACCAGACAGGACUCAAACCCCUCCUGCUUUUAAAGAGAAGGCAUGCAGUUUACUUUGGAAUUCAGGAUUAGGAAGUAAAUGUCUAUAUUCACAGUCUACUAAUUGUCCAGGCCCUAUGCUAAUAUUCUUUGAUUUAAAUCAUUGUCAGUGUUUAUUUGAUAUUCAAGGCAAGGAUUCUGAAUGCUAAUUUGUUUCUAAGUACCUCAAGGGAUAGCCUGAAAUUAAAAUAAUUUUAAGAAAUUGAUCUGUAAUUUAAAUUUUUACUAAUGUUCAUUUCUAGUAGGAAGGUAGAAAAUGAAGUGAAAUUUCUUUUAAGAGUUUAUUUAUUUAUUUUUAGAGAGAAGGGAAGGAAGAGACAGAGAGGGAGAGAAAGAAACAUCAGUGUGUGGUUGCCUCUUAUGUGUCCCCCACUGGGGACCUGGCCUGCAACCCAGGCAUGUGCCCUGACCAGGAAUCAAACCAGCAACCCUUUGGUUCACAGGCCGGCAUUCAGUCCACUGAGCCACACCAGGUAGGGCCAAAGUGAGAUUUAUAGUGGUUGGAUAUAUACAUAGUAAGAAAACUACAAAAUAUAUGCAGGGUCAUUUUUCUAGUCUUACGUGUCUUUCAGAAAUGUAUCUGUUCUGUCUGAAAACUUGUGCUUAAGGUUCAUUGAAAUAUGAUUCAGAGUAGAUAUCAAGAACCAGAAAGAAGGACUCAUUUAUCUUCCCUUUAAUAUUUUAGGCAUGAAGAAAUUCUGCUUUGUAAGGAACAAGUAAAGUUAAGCUUCAGUUUGAGAAAGUGAGGUUAAUGAAAUCAGAAUUGGACAGUUGGCAAAGGUAUGUUUUCUCAUGAGACUAGAAAUGAAGAGAGUCUUACUAUGGUGAUGUACAGUUCUUGAAGAAGUCAAACAACAGUGUUCAAUACAGACAGGAGGGGCUAUCUGUAGGCAGCCUUUGUGAUUGAGGAUAGAGCAGCAGCAGGAAGCAAGAAAUAUUAGAAAUCAAGAAUCCUGAAUUCCCAAAUAAGGAAGGUUUCCUCUUCUUACAUUUAAAUAUGGGUUUGUCUGAGCUGGGAAUUUACAACGCUUCAGAAUACUAGGGUAUGUUUUAAUUGAAAUCAUUAGGAAGAUUUUUGUUCUAUCAAAAUUGCCUCCUUAGCUGAUACAAUCUUAGUACAGAGCAUUCACAGUAAAAUGUGAGCUUUGUUUUAAAAUACACAUUACACUGUAAAGCAAUGAUCAAAUUCUGUUAUAUUUUGUAGCUGUAUCACAAAGUUGAAUGUGAUAUUGGACUACUUUCAUUAUGACAGUAAGCAAAUUAGAUAAUUUAAAAAUUACUGAAAUGAAAGCCAUGUUGAUUUAAAUACAUGACUAAUUAAGGAUAUUUUUGUUGUAUAUAAGGAAUCAAAUGGUAAAUGAUCAAGGGGUAUUUAUUUUGUUGUUUAUAAGUAAAAAAGAAAAUUUGGGACAAUUUUCUCCUCAGCUAAAAUUAUGUUUAGUAGAAUAGGUAUGUGUAUUAGUUAAAAAAUUUUGACACUAGUUUUAAAUGUGAAUUUUUAAAACCACACAACUCAAAAACAAAAUUAGUAGAAAAAAACUCUGAAAACUAAGAUUAAAAUGUCUGGAUUUUUUAAAUGGGUAUCUGCUGGAUCUACGGGUGAAGUACCUUUGGAACUGCCUUAGAAUUAGGGCAGUGUGAACAAUUUUUAAAAUAUUUAUUUGUAAAACUUUUUCGUCUCGUUUUGUAUAAUUUUAUGCCUUUGUAUCUAUUGAUGGUGUCCUUGAACUUGUAUCGAAGCAGUUCUGUACUUUCCUUACAGUAGACAUUUAACAAAGAAAAUUAAGGAUCUACUUAAAUUUUUUAAAUCUGUUUUUAAUUGAUUGAAGUAUGCUAUAAAGACUUAAUUUAGAAUAACUGAAUUUCUUUUCUGUUACCUCUUUGAAAUGCUUUGCUAAACUGUUCUGUGGUCAGAAAUGGAUAUCAUCAUUUCUCAGUAGCCAAUAGCAAAGGUAUUUUGACUAUGCUAGGUAGCUUGUUUUCCAACCUGUGCUUUUGUUAACUUGGAGGGGAUAACUUGGUUUUAAGAAAUUUUUCUCAUGGCUGAGACGGAGUCAGAGAAAAUCUAUUAACUUAUUUUGUAGUGUGAACUAGAUUAUUUUUAGGAAAUAUAAGUAUAUGCAUGCAGGUUGUAAUAAUAGCAGUGAUUUUCCAACUACUUUUUUUUUCUUUUUAUAAUAACAGUGGAAACCUUCAGAUGAAGCCUUAGACAAAUCUAUGCUAAUUAUGCUUAAGUAAAAAAGAAUAAAAACAAAAUCUUACUCAAAGAUUUGUUUGAAUCUUUGAGUAAGAUUUGUUUGAAUCUUACCCCAUUGUUUGAAAUAGACUGGAAUGGAAUAGUUAAGGUUAAAGCUGUCAGUUUGAACAUUGUAAAGGAAAAAGUGUCAUUUAGCUGAGGUCAACAGAGGAAAUUUAAUAAAGAAGAAAGUGGGAUUGUGGAAUUUUAGAGUUUUUGAAAGAUUCAGUGCAUCUGAUACAGAAUAAAUUUUUUGAACACAGAGUGGCUUUCUUUGUAUCUUAGUAAGUAUUACAUAUUGUAAUAGAUACAAUAAAAUGACAGACUUUACUUUUUACAUGUCAUGAACUUCUGCAAGUCCAACAAAAAGUCAUGAGGAACUCAUGUCUCUCACAUGUGUAUGUAACGCAUACAUCACAGUGAGGGCUGUCUUUCUGUUAAUGGGCUAGGCUUUUUUAUUGUUGGUCCAGUAAACCUAGUUGGCGGAGUUUAUACAAUACUUAGUAUAUAUUACACACUCUUCUAAGAAUUUCAAUUCCUUUUUUCCCAUAAAUGCUUUAGAAAUAAGUUAUAUUAUUAACCCCAUUUUCACUAGUAUGGUAACUGAGACACGGGGGCUAUGUGACUUGCACAGGGUUACAUCCAAGGACAAAUACGAAAGUACAAUGUAAAUCCAGAGCCUCUACACAUUGUCUUAAUAGCUUUUAGCAAAUGUUUUUACAUUGAA